CUUUCAAAACAUGCGUUGAUUCUCUGAAGUGCAGUAUUUAAAGUAUGUGGGCACUAGCUAGCUAUUUCAGUUKGUUUCUUUAGUGUCGAAAACACAUGCAGUCAGUGCAUCAUUUAUUUCAGUGGUGUACAAUUUACACGUUAGAGACAGUGAGAAUACCUAACCUACUUCUGAAACGCGGAAGUCAAGUUAUUACUCUGAAGUGAACUCAUUCAUAAGAGGCAAGUUUCAUGUCUGGAGCUAGAAGUGGGACGGUAUUUGGGAGGCAUGAGUGGUACGGUCCGUCAGAUCAGUGUGGUGUUGGACCCGAGCAUCCCCUAUUUCCUGCGGGUGGACUGGGCCGAAGACCUGGGUGCUGGGUUCACUCUCGCCCUCAGUGACGGCAGCUCGUCCUGGAUCGGAGAAGUACCAGAGGAGGAGAUGAUGAGGAAAGCCACAGAGUUGGGAGUGAAAAGGGAGAAAUAUGUGGAAGAUCUUCAUCGGGCACUGACCGGAGGAGGAGAAAGCAGAAGAGGAAGAGGAGGAGUGGCAGAAAAGGAGGAGUACCUGUUCCACCUCUCCUCUGACCACGGUUGUCUGUCGUAUGACAAGAAGACCCAGAGAGGCGUUUUGGUGAACAUGGGUGCAGUGGAGCUGCACCCUGCCCCUGUGGAUCUCAACAGGGAGAUGAUAGCCCACACUCUGGAGCACAGCGCUGACCUGGAGGCAGAGAACAGACGGCUGCAGGAGAAGAAUCAGACACUCCGGCAGGAGCGGCAGCACCUCCUUGCAGAUCUGGAGAAGCAUGUCCAGGAGAUGGAGACGAUGGAGGGAGACUUGUUUCUCGUUUCAUCAUGCUGCUUAAUGAGAAGAAGGCCAAGAAUCAGGGCCCUGCAGGACACCAUCCAGACACGUCCAAACAGCAGCUGGACCAGGGGUGGAAGAGCAGGAGAACCACCGKGUAACUGGGGUAACUGUCAAAUCCAAGGCUGGCGACAGCAUUAAGGAGGAGGACCUGCCUCAGAGCUUCCACCCAUCUCAGGCACCCACAGUGCUCAUCAGAGACAUUUCAAGCCAGACGAGCUCUAUGGAGGACACUGUGCGUGACAGCAAAGAUGUGUUGCCCAGCCACAAGCAUGGGCUCUGUUACCACCAGAGCCCAGAGUUAAAGGUUAAGAAGCCCUCUCCAGACCAGAAGUAAACUCACAGGAAGAACCCACCAACAUGAGCUGAGCAGAUAACCAAUCAGGAUGCCGUUUCGAGGUUGUUCUCAGCAUCACAGCCAAACUAAAGGAAGACAGACUUUCAAUGACUCACCAAUGUCAAUGCAGUGCAUUGGUCUACAAAACCAGAUGAUUUCAUUUGAUGUGUUGUUUAUUGUCAAGGGGAAUACCACUGUACAAUGUGGAAGAGGAAGGUCAUAUUUGUGAAAUAUUCACCCCCUAAGAAAUUUUCACCAUACACAUUUUAUUUUGUGUUGGGACAUGGUUCUUAGUUUAUCUUGAUAAGUAUUUUUGUUUUUCAUAUCUUAUAUUAAUUGACGUAAUAAAGUUUG